AUGAAGCCAUGUGCUAUCAAAAGAUGCUCUUUUGGAAAAAUUUCCCAGCAGUUGGGUGGCUUAAAGAAACCCCCAUGGUCAUGUGACUCCAGAUACUUCUGGGGCUGGUUGAAUAAAGUGGAUGUCAACCCUGACUGGUGGCAUCCAAGUGGCUUUGCUGUGGGGCUGUGGUGUGCUACCAGGGCCAGGAGAGUUGGCAGAAGGACAUAACCUCUCAUCAGGCCCUCUAGACAAACAGAAUUCAGGCAGUUGAUGCCACUGCUCUUAAAUCAUGAGCAUUGGAUUUGAUCACAUGGAGGGCUAACAGCAUGCUGGAAAAACAAGGUCAUGCAAGUGUCAUAUAUUGAGCCUGACUGUUCGGAGAGACUUUGUAAAGUUAAAAAUUUACAUAAAAGCAUGUUGGAAAUAAUUUCAUGUGGAUAUAUCACAGACAGAGGCAUCGUUGCUCUGCAUCACUUAAGAAACCUCAAGUGUUUGCUAUAAAGUGAUCUUCCUGGACUAAGAGAAAAAGAAAACCUUGUCCAAGCCUUUGAGAUAGGACCACCUUCUCUAGAACUAAAAUUAGACUUGAAGUAAAAUAAUAAUAUUCAGUAAGUGUCUUAUUUCAAAUGGAAGCAUCUAUAGGUGAAUGGAUAAAGAAGAUGUGAUACUCACCAUAAAAAGAGUGAGAUCUUGCUGUUUGCAACAACAUGGAUGGGCCUAGAGAGUAUUAUGCCCAGUGAAAUCAUUCAGACAGAGACAAAUACCAUAUGGUUUCUCUUAUAUGUGGAAUCUAAAAAAACAAUAAACAACAACACAAAAACUCAGUACAGAGAACAAACUGGUGGUGGCCAGAGGGGUGGGGGUGGGAAAUGGGAGAAAUAGGUGAAGGGGAUUAGGAGGAACAAACUUCUGGUUAUAAAGUAAGUAAAUAGUGGAUAUGGGGGGAAAAGUGUCCUAUUUCAAUAUAAAGUAUCAUUUGAAAUUUUUUUUUUUUUAAGAUUUUAUUUAUUUAUUUGACAGAGAGAGAGAGAGCAGGAACACAAGCAAGGGGAGUGGGAGAGGGAGGAGCAGACUUCCCAUGGAGCAGGGAGCCCGAUGUGGGGCUCGAUCCCAGGACCCUGCGACCAUGACCUGAGCCGAAGGCAGAUGCUUAACGACUGAGCCACCCAGCCGCCCCUCGUUUGAAAUUAUUUAGAUAUAUUUAUCAUCAAUAGAACUAAAAGGUGGUCAUACCGCAACAUUUUAAAAGCAGAGUCCCUCAUGUAGAAAGUAAAUAUUCAGACAUGACAUUCUGAAAUUAGAGUUGGAAGUGAGAAUUUAUGUACAUUUUAAGAAAAAUGCAAACCCAGAUAACCUUUUAAUUCUAAUAUAUUCCUCAUUUUAUAUAGAUAUGUCUUGAUGUAGAUAGAGUUCUUCAAAGUGAUUUAAAUGUAUAACACAGAUGUUCUUUUUUUUAAGAUUUUAUUUGAGAGAGAGAACACAAGCUGAGGUGGGGUGGCAGAGAGGAGGAGAGGGAGAAGCAGACUUCCCACUGAGCAGGGAGCCUGGCUCUGGGCUCAAUCCCAGGAUCCCGGAGUCAUGACCUGAGCUGAAGGCAGACAUUUAACCAACUGAGCCACCAGGCGCCCUACAUUUUACUUUAAAGUUAAUAAAGCAUGUUGCUAUAAAUGUACAUACAUGGGGGAAAAAAGGCUCACAAAAUCAAGCUUUGGCUGGAAUACAGGGAGUAGAAUAUUGUCAAGUUGAUGGUGGGAGUGUAUCAAUGCAGCCCUUUUCAGUAGAGACUACCAUUUUGCUCUUCAUUGUUGAGCAUGCACAAUUCUCUGCCUAGGACGAGAGCCUAGAGAAACUUAGCUCUGGGCAUAGGAAGAGAAGUGUAGGAAGAAUGCUCCUUGCUGCUGAGAUGACCAGGGAAUAGAGUGUGUAUAUUAAGGUAGUGGAAUGCUAUAUAGCCGUUAACCUUUGGAAAAGGAAAAAAAGCAAGUUGCAAAAAGAUGUACAGGAUCAUACUAUUACAUUGUAGACUGUUAACUCUUCAGGACCCAUUUACGUCUGGGGAGGAAGAAAAGGGAAUGCUGUGAGGAAGGGUUAACUCUGUUUCUUUAAAAAAACAAAACAAAAACUGACAUUACUGUGGCAGUGUUAAUAUUUGUCACAUUAGAGUAUGGGUAAAUAGAUAAUAUGGGUGUGCUAUAAAAUAUUAAAAAUUUUAAGAGAUCACACUCAUAGAACUUUACGUUUCUAGGUGUGAAGAUAAAUUAAUUUUUUAAAGUUGCAAAGAAUAACUGCGCAGUUUUUCAACUUCACUUCUUAAUGCCUUACUUUGCCUUCUCUGUUAUCUGAGUUCCAAGUACCCGUUUGGUUCCAACAAGAGUCAUAGAGUUUAGGGGCGCCUGGGUGGCUCAGCCGUUAAGCGUAUGCCUUCGGCUCAGGUCAUGAUCCCAGGGUGCUGGGAUCGGGCCCCACAUCGGGCUCCCUGCUCAGCAGGAAGCCUCCUUUUCCCUCUCCCACUCCCACUGCUUGUGUUCCCUCUCACGCUGUGUCUCUGUCUGUCAAAUAAAUAAAAUCUUUAAAAAAAAAAAAAAAAGAGUCAUGGAGUUCUCCUCUUGGGAUUCUGUCCUAAACAAGCAAUCGGAAAUAUGGAAGAGGCUCUGUAAGUUAACAUUCAUUCCUGAGGUCCUUAAAAUUGUGGAAAUUUGACAGUAAUAUGUUUUUAAAAAACAAGAGUGAAAUUGUUCGCUGAGUUUGUUGGGCAGCAGUAAAGGUGGGAGCUCCUGUCAGAGAGUACUGUGAUGUGUCACUUAGGCAGAGAGGAGUGAUGGGGAGGGCACGGCGUGAUGUGUGGUGUGAGAUUUCAGCUACGUAAAACCCCACAGCCUGGAUACCUAGAAUAAGAAAUGAGCUAAUGAAGAUGCUCUCUGUGUGGGAGGGUGCCAAGUGUUUCAGGGGGUUUUUUAGCUUUGGCUUUACUUACCCAAAUGUUUACGUAGUAACAGUGUUACUUCUCUAAUGGAAAAAAAAAAUUUUUUUUUUUAAUUUGUCCAAGCCUAGAUUUAAGUUCUGUUUUUUUCUUACUUUCUCUUUAUAGAAAUAGUUGUCUGUUUCUACUUUCCUUAUUGUAUGACCAGGCUCUUGGGUCCCCCUCCAUCGGUCAGUCUCCCUGUUACGAGAAAGGGUUCAUUUUUUCACUCAGAGACACAUACUCACUGUAGGACAUUGGGAAACCAGAAAAGCACAAAAGCAGACAUCACCCGCAGUCCCUCUACUGGGUAUCCACUGGCACCGGAGAUCGAAUUUUGUCUGCAUAUGUGUGCUUUGUUUGUUGUAGUGGGGGUUGCAUUUAGUUCCCCAUCCUGAUGAGAGGCGGGGAAAAUAAUUGCCUUUGAGUUUGUCUUCACCCUUAUAUCAAAGUCAUCGUCACUUCCUUCUGGUUCUAUUUGAGUGGCUGCUGCUUUUACCAGUGGCCUGAGCACGCCUAUGCCACACACAUACAUUCAUGACAGCCUCCUACCUCUACUCUACAGUCAGGCUGAGCUCAGCCCAUGGCUGCUAGGGCAUGUCCUAUUUUAGAAAGAUUCUUCCCAGAGUGAAGUGCAUAUAGAUAGUUUAUGUAGUGGUUGGGGUUUCCUGGGGAUGGAGUGGGCUGCCACGGUCAGGCUCCUUGCUCUCACAGUUGUGGCCAAGAGUCCUGUCAGCCAUGUUUUCAUGUACUGGUUAUGGAGGGUCAUGCGCAUUGGAAGAAAAGGCUGAGGCGGGUUUCUCAGACCUGUCCUCCUCAUAGGAGUAACACUUGGGCUCUUGGGGACUGUUCAUUGACAGAAAGCUGAAAUGUGCACUUUUGCUCAGCCCUGACAUUGGUAACCACAGUAGCCCCCUUCCAGCAUGCUGUUGGCCUGAGCUAUUCUUGGCCAGUCUGUGGGCCAGAGUUUAGAGUUGUGUAGUCAUAUUGCUUUACUGGACCUUCUCUAGGGGGUUCUAAUGCUGCUGUAUCCAGCCCUCCAGUCAGUAUCUAAGUUCUGGCUCCACUCCUGUUUGCUACACUGUCAUUUGAGCCGGUCCCCAAGAGUAAAUCAACUGUCUGGAUUUGCACAGGUUUUAGGACUCCUUUCAGAGAAUAUUUUGGGAGGUGUUAGGGGAUUUAGUAGAACAUCAUGAGCUUUGAUUACGUUGGUAGUAUUAAAGAAAUGUGAAUCCCAGAUUACUGCCCUGUCCUGUUAUUUCUCUUGUGCCUAUUUACUUAUUCUAAUCAAGCAUCAUAACCUCAUCUUAUAGGGUGCUCUUCCUACCUGAACUGGGAGCUCAAUCUUUGUAUGGCCUAGGGAUACUUGACGGGUUCCCCAAGUGUUCUGCAUCACUUGGAGGGAGGCAGGACUGACCGCCUGAGAAAGCCUUCACAAAGGAGCUCAACCAUCCUUCUGCAGAAUUUGGUUCUGGAGAUAAAACUAGUGGCCCAAGCCACACUCCCAUUUUGGUUCAAACCCUGGGCCUUUGGGGUAGUUGGCUGGUGAUUUGGACAUAAAAUUGCCAUUUAUUUGGGUUAUAAAGGAUGGUCCAAGUUCUUAUGUUGUUCUGAAGUUAAGUGGGUUCCCUGCAAACCAGUGAAUCCAACAGUUAAAGACCCAUGUCAGCUAGAAGUAAUGGUAUGCUGCUUCUGACCCCCACUUUCUUAAACCAGAUGACUUGCUGGGGGUUGUGGAACCAUUCCUCAGAACACUCACCAUCUCUCAGGCCGACCAGGGUGGCCUUGUUAGGGAUCUAGGGCAGUAAGGAAAUCCAUCCUUGCUCUCGAACCUAGCAUGGCAAUGAACGAUAUGAAGUUCUUUGAGCUAGUCAGUAGUACCUGGUGUUCUUUUGAUUAAAAGCUGGCUUUCCCCUCUAUUCUAAAGUAUGUCCUUGCUGUCUUUCCCUUCAUCUCUCUCAGGGGUUUUUGUUUGCCUUUUUUUUUUUUUUAAUUGAGUCAUAAUAUAAAUAAAACAUUCUGAUUUUUUUAGGUAAACUUUAUAUACAGUACAAUAUGUAGAUUUAAAUGUACAAUUCAGUGUGUAAUUACGUCCCUGUAUUUCCAUCACCCCCAGAAAGUUCCCAGGGUACAUAAAUGUUAAGUUUAUAUCAUGAAUUUUACAUAAAUAUCUAUUCAUGGAACCACCGCCCAGAUCAAGAUGAAAACAUUUUCUAGCAGAGUUCAGACUCGUUGUCUGCCCUCUGCAGAACAUGCAAUCACAUAUACUCUCUGUCAGGGCUGUGUGGGAUACUCUGGUGCUGCACUCGCUUCCUGAAUUCUGAAAUCUGAAGUCGCUUGUCUCUCGGUGGCUCCAUAAUGCAGCUCGUUUCCUCUGGCAUCCCCCACUCCUAGUGCUGUGCCCCCCAAGGAAUAAUGUUUUCUCU